ACGCUCGACACCUACGGGAGCAGCAGUAGGGAAUCUUCCACAAUGGGCGCAAGCCUGAUGGAGCAACACCGCGUGAGUGAAGAAGGGUUUCGGCUCGUAAAGCUCUGUUGUUGGAGAAGAACGUGCGUGAGAGUAACUGUUCACGCAGUGACGGUAUCCAACCAGAAAGUCACGGCUAACUACGUGCCAGCAGCCGUGGUAAUCUGAGGCGGGCUGGCAAGGC
rnacentral:rRNA from 1 species